AUUGAACGCUGGCGGCAGGCCUAACACAUGCAAGUCGAGCGGUAGGGAGGAGCUUGCUUCUCUUGAGAGCGGCGGACGGGUGAGUAAUGCCUAGGAAUCUGCCUGGUAGUGGGGGAUAACGUUCGGAAACGGACGCUAAUACCGCAUACGUCCUACGGGAGAAAGUGGGGGAUCUUCGGACCUCACGCUAUCAGAUGAGCCUAGGUCGGAUUAGCUAGUUGGUGAGGUAAAGGCUCACCAAGGCGACGAUCCGUAACUGGUCUGAGAGGAUGAUCAGUCACACUGGAACUGAGACACGGUCCAGACUCCUACGGGAGGCAGCAGUGGGGAAUAUUGGACAAUGGGCGCAAGCCUGAUCCAGCCAUGCCGCGUGUGUGAAGAAGGUCUUCGGAUUGUAAAGCACUUUAAGUUGGGAGGAAGGUCAGUAGCUUAAUACGUUGCUGAUUUGACGUUACCGACAGAAUAAGCACCGGCUAACUCCGUGCCAGCAGCCGCCGUAACAC
rnacentral:rRNA from 1 species